GAAAUAUUAAUAAAAAAGCUUCUAACUUUUUUACUUUUAAUGGAUAAACUCCAUUUAUAUUUCU
rnacentral:tRNA from 1 species